rnacentral:rRNA from 1 species
GCUGUUAAGGGUUCGUAGUUGAACUGGGGGCGCUCAGGUAGACGAAUCAGUCCCACACCGCUUUCGGUGUUCGGCGCUCUCGCUCCUGUCGCUCGUGAACGACAGAAACAAAUACCGCGGGACGUUUUCUCUCCAACAUCACUACGCAUGCAACGUAUGCAGUGUGGGGGGAUGCCCGUGUUUUUACUGUGACUAAAAAAGCGUGACCAAAGCAGUCAUUCGACAUGAAUUUCAAAGCUGGGAUAACAACGAAGCAACCUACGGGCUACCGCCUUGGCUUUUGUUGGUUUUAAAGGUCUGUGGGGACUAUGGGUUCGCACGACAAGCGGUCCGGGGCGACUUAGCCCCUACGCCUCCGGCCGGCACUCCUCUGUGGGUCCGGUUCUGGCUUGCGACGCCCAGGAAUGAAGGAGGGUUGUUCGGGGGGAACGUACUUGGUCGUGAGAGGUGAAAUUCUUAGACCGACCAAAGACGACUACAGCGAAGGCAUUCUCCAAGGAUACCUUCCUCAAUCAAGAACCAAAGUG